GCUGAACGAGUUGUUAUUACGGAGGUGGUGUGCCAAGGAGUGAAAUACUGAGUUAUUUCUUUUGCUUCUGUAUAAAUAGGCGUAGAAUCUGCAUCUCCUUGUACUGAAUGGGAUGAAUUAUCAAUGAAGCACGUUAGAGCUGCUUUAUAAAACUGGGUUUUGUUUUGUUUUUUUAUCUUGCUGUAAGGCAAUAUUCCUCAGUCUUCAGUUGAUUGACUCCCAAACAUUUAUUAUACGGAAAUAAUACAAUGAAUGCUACUUAACUAACCAAAUAAUGUCAACUCCGUGGCUAGCAAUAGUUCUUAGAUUUAUAUACCACUUCACAAUGUUUUAGAGCCCUGUCUAAGCGGGUUUGUAGAGUCAACAUAUGGCCCGCAAUAAUCUGGUUCCUCAUUUUACCGACCAUGGAAGGAUGGAAGGCUGACUCAACCUUGAGCUGAUCAAGAUCGAACUCCUAGCAGUUGGCCGAAUUAACCUACAGUACUGCAAUAUAACCACUACACCACCACAACUCUAUAGUCCCAUCAAUCUUUGUGUGUAUGUGUGUGUCUCCGUGUCCUAUAUUGACCACUUUGGGGAACCUUGCUGUAAGGAAUAAUGGUAAAAGGACUCGAUUAGGAAUGAAAAAUCCUGCCACAAGGGAUAAGGAAGCCACAGUAAGGACAGAACAUAGCAAAACAGAUUGGUCCCAGGUGAACAAAGGAAUAAGGAAAAGAACACCGGCACCUUAUCAAUCUGUUGCCAUCAGACACAUUUAAAUCCAUCAAAUGACUGGGAAAAAAAUGAGCUGCACUUUGGAACUGAUAGAUACUCAGACAGAAUAGAAGUUUUACUUGAGACUUUCUUUGCCACCUUUCAAAACAAGUUUUCUUAAGAUGACUAGUGGUCAUCUUGAAGGAGGCACUUAGAUCUGAAUUCUGUAGGAAAGCACACCAAGUUAAACACUUAAAUUAUUACUGGUUGUUUACUCCGCCUUUACUCACUUUAAGAAUGCUUUCCAUUGAUUGAUUGAUUGAUUUGAUUUUUAUCCUGUUGCCAUUAUAUAUUAAUCAAAACAACAAUAGAAUUGGAACAGGGUACAAUCUGGAUGGUGACAGUAGAACCAAUAGAAAAUAGAGAGCAAAGUAAUAACAAUAGUUGCAGGUGAAAGGUUCUUUGAAAUAUCUCCAUUUUAAUACUUCCCUAAUUAUUAGCCAUAGUUAAUUAUUAAAGAGGAAAGCAGUCUGAUCUCACUGAGGAGCCAUUCCAUAGUGUUGGCACUGCUGCACAGAAGCAGUGCCAUCUAGAUGGUGAUUCUGCUGACAUCCCAGAAAUGUGAGACAACAAAGAGUCCCUUCCUACAUGAUGACAACAGGCUAGGUUGAAUCCAGUUAGAUGAGGCAGUUCUUGGCAUACUGAAAUGCUAUCGAGCUUUAUAGCUUAUUACCAACAUUUUAAAUUGUUCUUAGAGCUGAACUAGAAACCAGGGCAGGGCCUAUAAUUGGAAACUAAUUAAGGAGAGAAACAACCUAGAACCAAGGAGAAUUUCCUAACAGUAAGAACGAUUAAUCAGUGGAUAAAUCUCCUCCAGAACUGACUGCUCCAACAUUGGAAGUUUUUAAGAAGAGAUCAGACAACUAUUUGUCUGACAUGGUAUAGCGCUUCCUGCCUGUACAGGGGGUUGGACUAGAAGACCUCCAAGGUCCCUUCCAACUCUGUUAUUUUGUAUUCUGUAUACAGAUGUAAUAUGCUUGCAACUUCAGCUGCCUGAUCUAAUUAACAUAUGAUCCACCACAUUCUGGAUUAAUUGUACUUUCUGGGUAAUUUAAAGGCAGCCCUAUAGAAAACAUGCAGAAAUCUAUCUGGGCGAUGAUGAGGGCAUUACAAUCACUAGGUCUUCCUGCAUCAGAUAAGGAUGCAAUAGGUGCAACUGCUGAAGCUGGCCUUCCCCCACCAAUGGUCCAAGCAGGAGCCAUCGGUCCAGAAGAAUCCUGAA